GGAAGCGUGGCAGAGUGGUCGAUUGCACCGGUCUUGAAAACCGGCGACGGGCGACCGUCCGUGAGUUCGAAUCUCACCGCUUCCG
rnacentral:tRNA from 1 species